rnacentral:rRNA from 1 species
AUUGAACGCUGGCGGCGCGCCUAACACAUGCAAGUCGAGCGGUAACAGGUGUAGCAAUACAUGCUGACGAGCGGCGGACGGGUGAGUAACGCUUGGGAAUCUGCCUAUUAGUGGGGGACAACCCGGGGAAACUCGAGCUAAUACCGCAUACGCUCUACGGAGGAAAGCCGGGGACCGCAAGGCCUGGCGCUAAUAGAUGAGCCCAAGUCGGAUUAGCUAGUUGGAGGGUAACGGCCUACCAAGGCUACGAUCCGUAACUGGUCUGAGAGGACGACCAGUCACACCGGAACUGAGACACGGUCCGGACUCCUACGGGAGGCAGCAGUGGGGAAUAUUGGACAAUGGGGGAAACCCUGAUCCAGCGACGCCGCGUGGGUGAAGAGGCCUGCGGGUUGUAAAGCCCUUUCAGUGGGGAAGAAAGCCUCGACCUACACGUCGGGGUCUUGACGUACCAUAGAAGAAGCACCGGCUAACUCUGUGCCAGCCGCCG